AUUGAACGCUGGCGGCAGGCUUAACACAUGCAAGUCGAACGAGUGGCGGACGGGUGAGUAAUGCUUGGGAAUCGAGCUUAUGGAGGGGGAUAACUACGGGAAACUGUAGCUAAUGCCGCGUACCAUAGGAUGAGCCCAAGUGUGAUUAGGUAGUUGGUGGGAUAAAGGCUCACCAGGCCGACGAUCUCUAGCUGGUCUGAGAGGAUGACCGUCAACACGUGGACUGAGACACGGCCCAGACUCCUACGGGAGGCAGCAGUGGGGAAUAUUGCGCAAUGGGGGCAACCUGACGCAGCCAUGCCGCGUGAAUGAAGAAGGCCUUCGGGUUGUAAAGUUCUUUCGGUAGCGAGGCGUUAACUACAGAAGAAGCACCGGCUAACUCCGUGCCAGCAGCCGCGGUAAUUC
rnacentral:rRNA from 1 species